rnacentral:rRNA from 1 species
UACGUAGGGUGCAAGCGUUAAUCGGAAUUACUGGGCGUAAAGCGUGCGCAGGCGGUUAUGCAAGACAGAUGUGAAAGCCCCGGGCUCAACCUGGGAACUGCAUUUGAAACUGGCGGGCUUGAGUGCGGCAGAGGGGGAUGGAAUUCCGCGUGUAGCAGUGAAAUGCGUAGAUAUGCGGAGGAACACCGAUGGCGAAGGCAAUCCCCUGGGCCUGCACUGACGCUCAUGCACGGAAGCGUGGGGAGCAAACAGG